GGAACCUAGCAAGUGGGUGCUUUCCUGUGGGGGCAGAGCGGUGUGUGUAGUUGGGGGGCGUUUCCGGGAAGUUAGAUACCAGAUAAAUUUAGAGGGGAAAGUGACAUAAACUCCAACGCAGCUGGAGGUUUAAUUCUACCAGAUCUUUCACUUGCUGCGCCUGUGCAGCGAGCGAUCAAAUUCGUGAAAAGAGAGGUACAGGUCUGUGGUAUUUGACCAGCCAAUUAUCCUUGGAGUUACGCUGGGUUCUUUCCAACUUAAAGUGAAUCCAGAAAGAGAGAGCACAUGAGAAAGAAUGAGAAAAUGAGAAAGCACCUCAAGCAUCCAGAAAUCAGGGCCACCUUCCGAGAGGCAGGCUGAAUCAUCCUUCAAGCCCAGAGAAGUGGAAGCCAACUCAGGGAGAACCA